UUAGGGUUUUCUGCUGAAUUUAUUAGGAACAUUUAAGAGUUGUUAGGCUGCCAUCGAAAUGCUCCAUCUCCACGUAGCGAAUAGGAAAAUCACUGCAAAGUCACGAAAUAAAAUAUAAGAAAUAAAUGUGAUAAAAAAUUAUAAAGAAGAACAAAACUUGUCGCCUUGUAUUGCGAUUGUAAAAAUUUUGUUGUCUUUGUUCCUAUUCUUCAAAUAGUUUCACUCUUCCCAGCAGGGGCCACUGGUUCAUCAGCAUCUACUUUCUUUAUUUGCUUUAAUGUUUCCACUCCUUAGAGUAUUUUUCGGCUCGUUUCCUUAAUUUAAUUCGCCCGUUAACAGCUCUGUCUUGUUCAAAUUUUAGUACCACGACUUGAUUAGUAUUUGUGUUACCACCAUAAAAAUUUUACUGUGCAUUUAUUGCGGGUUGCAUUGUUUUCAGUAAGUAUAUUAACUGAAUCAAAUUACCAUGGGCGUUAAGUGAUUGUAAAGUGAUAGAAAUUUUGAUGCUUGGACCAGAGAUUAGUAGUAAUCUACUAAUCUCUGCUUGGACCAAACAAAAUAGUGGCUAUGACUUUCGCAAGUUUCCUCAAGUUUCUCCUGGUCUUUCAAUUAUUCCUUCAAAUAAGCCUCUCGACCGAGCCAGGCGAGUUAUCCGUUGCAAAACCGAGAUGGUACCAUCUUCGUUGUGUUGAAUGUUACCGGCCAGAUACCAAGGGACAAGCAUGUGUGAAGAUACCAAAGUGCAUCAAAACUCCUAAAAAGAAAUUAAUCAAUCCGUUUCACCACUGGACUUCUUAAGCUACAGAGUACAGAAGUGUGUACAUAUUUAGCGGCUCUCAGAUGCAAUUAGUUCUCACUUCCGGCGCGUGUUUCUCCUUUAACAAUUUGCAAAAAACCCGUCCAGAACUUUAAUACAACUUUAUUAUUCUUAA
rnacentral:lncRNA from 1 species